CGCCCCCCUCGCCCGGCCGCCCCCCGCACACGGGCGCGCUGGUGGUGGGGCUGCGCGGUCUGCCGGACGCGGUGUGCCGCCCCCUGGAGGAGCCGGCCCCCCAGCAGGGCGACGCCGACUUCUUCGAGCCCGCGUUCCGCGCCCACCGCCUCGCAGACGUGCCGCUCGUCUGCCAGUUCCGCCUCGACUGGGACGCCUGGCUGCGCGGCGUCUCCACGCACGCCCUGCUCGACGCACUCGCCCGCCGCGUCGACGUCACCGUCAGCGACUACGACCCGUCCGGCUGGAGCCCUCCCGAUGUGUCCUUUCCGUACGUGGGCUGCGAUUCCAGAGAAGAGCUGCCCUCGGAACCGUACGAGUUCUCAGUGACGGGCCCCAGCGGGCGCACCGCCACCUGCUGGUUCGUGCCCAACCAGGAGACCCGCGGAGCCUGCUACAGGGAGCAGCUGGAUGCCGCCUGCCCGCCGGGAUUCCGCUUCCUCAGCGACGGCCGCUGCUGCGACGAACCGACCUAGAACGCGUUCGAUACGCCCCCCUCUGUACCUGGACACUGUGCUCUGCCCUCAUACUCGUCUGAAAUACGUCACAAACACAGGUCUAUUUAUUCCAUGGGGCUUCACGCUUGCAGCCUGGUGACGUCGACAUCUUACCAUGAUAUUUCGGUUGACAACCAGUCAGCCAUCUUCAAGUGAAUUUUACAGUGGAGACUGAUGGUGCAUGUCGCUGACUCUAUGACUAAAAUCGACGCAAUGUCGCUCGCACGAACUGCUUGCAUGUAGAGUUAAGGUUCAGUUAUCAAAAUCCUAAAACUAACUGUCGCUUGACGCGUCAUUAAGAGUGAAUCAUUGUCUUUCUGAAAAUAUCCGAAGCCUUAGCAAGUUGAAAUUCGCCAGUAAUAUUAUUAAGAUCUUCCACCAACCGUAUUUCCAUACCGACUCGUUAAUAAUUUAAACCCAGAAGUAUCUCGUCGUGGCCAAGACUUUUGUGACAGAAUAAUUUAUAGAACGUGCUAUAGAUCUUGGCCACGAGAUCGUUCAGAGAUUCAGUUAUCAAGGAAUCUAUAGAAAUACGUUUGGUGGAAGACCUUAUCAAUCGUGAUGGCUGCUUUAACCUGGUAAGACUUGGGACCCGGUGAUUCCUCCGAUCAGAAAGACAAAAUUUCACGCCUAAUGACACGUCAAGCGAGAGUUAAUUUUAUUAUUUUGGCAACUGAAUUUCAACUCUUGAGACCAGAAAUUCGACAGAGGGAGUGAUAUUGACCAUCAUUCCGCAGGCGUUUCCGCUCUCCAUAUGGAGCAAUAUUCGAGAGAGGGCGCUAAAUUCGGCAAAAGGCUGUUAAGCAGAGAAAACCUACGCUCGUAUACCACUCUUUAGCAUAAAUUCAGCGACGCGCACCAGCAGUCUCCAGUGCAAAAUUCACCUGAAGAUGGCAGAAUGCUUGUGAGCCGAAAUAUAGUGGCAAGUUGUCGAAGUCAUCCGGCUGCAAGCCCGAAAUCGUAAGGACUGUGCAUCACGCCUGGAAAACUUCAACAAUCACAAAGCUGUAUAUGUUUUUACAUUGUAUCGGUUUUGAAUUUUUUUGGAAAGUGACUGCUGUUGCUGUGAUACUGUGACUGACAGCUAUAUAGGCGGUGAAAGAAGCGUCACCAAAGCGCCCACAUUGCACAAAAUCUGUAAUUUACCCUAUUCGCUAAAAGGCGACGCUGUGGACAUUCGCAGAUAGGAAAAAGUGGUGACAUCAAUCGUUUAAUCCGUCUGACACGUUGUAUGAUUCGCCCAAGUUUGCUAGGUGGUUCAUGCAACACCACGUUAACCUCCCAAAUGGGUAAACUAGACUCAAACCGUAGCUCAGUAAAAUGAUCUGUAGUAAAUAGCACUUCAAGUUUGAGGACUUAUCGUUUGACUAAUAACGGAAGCACCACGAUACAACAAGACUUGUCAUGCUUUUAUCAGUACUUUUUCGUCACACUAUUCGACAUCACGCUCCACUAAACAGCUGCCUAAGAACAAAGUAACUCUUCUAGGAAUAUUCACAUGAAGCACGUUGGAUAGAGUGAUUCUAACAUUAAAUACGAAAGCUUACCAAGUCAAGAAGACCAUCCGUGGGAGUUCCCACAAGAGAACUCGAACAGAAGACACGCUGAAUUAUUGACAGAGCACAUUACUUCCAACAUUGUUGAUACAGAUGAAUACGCUUCCCUGUACUAUACUACGACCAUGGAGAUAAAGCUACAUACCGUACGUGCGCUUGACUGGUGGCUAGCAAGGAGUGGGGACAGCUAACUCUCUUGCUGAAGCUGUUACGCGGCGUUAAGUUGCAAGAUCUGGAGCAAGUUCUACCGUGGCAAAAGUGUAGGUGUUUGUUAGAACAUCUGGGUGUUUUCUCGGCUAUAAGAACAAUUCUUCUCCACAUACAUCAAUUAAAGGACUAAUUCUUUCUUUGCUCCACAGUGGAGGCACCUGCGGUAACUAAAAGGCACUUUCAGGUUAUGUUCCCAUCUUGCACCUUCCUAGCGUGGUCACACACUUGCGGUGAGGCAAUGCCUUCCAGGCUGUGUCGUCAGGCACCGACAGGACUCCUGUUUGGUCAUUGCGGGUAGCAUUCAGAGAACCCUGCAAGAGAAAUAGCACCGGAGCAAUCACAGGCGAAACUUCCUGCAAGGAAGCAACGUAGCGUUCGAUUGACCCUGCUUAGGAGCUGUCGCGCAAGCCAGCGAGUAACCUUCCAGAGAAUCUGACUCCGUGCGAGAUGGGCUUUAUUCACCUCCGCCCGAUUUGUUAAACUGUCAGUUACCUAACAACCCUAAUUCUCCUGUAGUAAGGUAUAUGGUGUUGGCAUCACUAGGCUAAGUGUGAACUAUUCCUGCUGUGCUUCCUCUGAGGAGGGCAAGGAAAGCAUUGUAGACAUAAAUAAAAUUGGUGCUUAUCUGUUGAAA